rnacentral:rRNA from 1 species
UGAACGUUGGCGGCGUGGAUUAGGCAUGCAAGUCGAGCGCGAACCGUAGCAAUACGGGGAGAGCGGCAAACGGGGUAGGAAGGAUUGGUGACGUACCCUUCGGACGGGGAUAGCCAUGGGAAACUAUGGGUAAUACCCGAUGAUCUCCUGAGUUUGAAUGCUUGGGUGUAAAGGUGUGAUUCCACCGGAGGAGCGGCCAAUCUGACAUCAGCUAGUUGGUAAGGUAACGGCUUACCAAGGCUUUGACGUCUAGGGGGGUGUGAGAGCAUGGCCCCCCACCACUGGGACUGAGAUACUGCCCAGACACCUACGGGUGGCUGCAGUCGAGAAUCUUCGGCAAUGGGCGAAGGCCUGACCGAGCGACGCCGCGUGCGGGAUGAAGGCUCGGUUGUAACGCUGUCAGAGGGAGUGAAGUCGAUAGAGGGUACGUCCCUUUACUGUUGUACAGAGCCGUCCAGAGGAAGCACGGGCGUAACGUAAUGUGUCCGACGCAGC